UUGUUACUUGAUAAUAACAUGUCUAAAAUGGACAUUUUAUUUCUCAAAAGCACUUUUUGACAACAAUGCUAAACACUCAAAUUUUAAACUAAACUUUUCAAAAGCAUUUCUCAAAAACACUUUCCCACAGCAGUUUCCCACAGCACUUUUUAAAAGUACUUUUAAAAAGCAUUGCCAAACUAUCCCUUACUCAUAUCCUCUUCAUUUUCAUCAGGCCUAAUUAGCGUCGCAAAUCUCAACCCUGGCAUCGCUUUCCCUUGUUUCUUCAAACUUUGAUUUUGAGAAUCCCUAAUAUUUCACCGUGAUUUCCUUUGAACCUGCAUCCACGGACCGAAGACCGCUGGUUCAUUCGACUGAUCCUCAUUCGAACUCGAUGGACCCACCGCUGGCUCCUUCUCCUCUCUUUGACCCCGGCUUCCGAUUAAUAGAGGGCACAAAUCCUUCGUGUAUCCAUAUCUGCCACAGUUAAUACAGAUUAAAGAAUGAUCUUUCUCUUGUACAGAUGUCCAGGAAGGCCAGACAAUCUGAUCCAAGCCAACACCAUGCUCGGGUACGGUUGAAGUGGGUUGAAGUCAAUCAUCUAUGGCUGAAUGGUCAAGUACUGACCAUAUACGAUCCAUGGACCCUGAGAGAGUACUUUGUCAAAAUCUUCCACACUCUGGAAUUUUACUAAAAAGUACCCAUUUUCAAUGUCCAUGAGCCGAAAUGGUCUGGAUGGCUUCCACAAACUGCUAACUUGAUUGUAUAGAGCCGCAUAACCUAUAUUCCAUCCUAGCAAUUUAACCACCACCAUGAGUUCCAUAUCCUUAACCAAUAUCUGUUGGAUAUGAUCAGAGAAAUUAAUCGACAAAAUUCCAUCGAUGGUUGACUUCAAAACAUCAUCCUCUAAGAAUUCCAGAUCCUCAUUUUCUUCCAAUACAGCCAAGUCUGAUUCCUUUUCCCAAUCAAUGCUGCCUUUCCCUAGGACCAUGUCCCACCAAGACACAGAAACAAGUGGAACCCGAUCCACUACCCUGUCAGAAUCAGACUCUCCGUCACCACCUUUAUCUUUGAAGCACACCUUUUUGGUAUUACGAUCUUUAGCAGGAAAAUGUGCUACAUCUCCUUCCAUUGUAUCCAUAAUCUCAAGUUUCUAAUAGAUUGAAGGUGAUCAUGUUGCAGUA